rnacentral:rRNA from 1 species
UUCGCAAUGCCCGAAAGGGUGACGAAGCGACGCCGCGUGUGGGAAGAAGGCCUUCGGGUUGUAAACCACUGUCAGGAGUUAAGAAAUGUAAGGGUGCUAAUAGUAACCUUACUUGACUAAGGCUCCAGAGGAAGCCACGGCUAACUCUGUGCCAGCAGCCGCGGUAAUACAGAGGUGGCAAGCGUUGUUCGGAAUUAUUGGGCGUAAAGAGCACGUAGGCGGUUCUGCAAGUCGGCUGUGAAAGCCUUCCGCUCAACGGAAGAACAGCAGUUGAUACUACAGGACUAGAGUGCGGGAGGGGAGAGUGGAACUUCUGGUGGAGCGGUGAAAUGCGUAGAUAUCAGAAGGAACGCCGGCGGCGAAAGCGACUCUCUGGCCCGUAACUGACGCUGAGUGUGCGAAAGCUAGGGGAGCAAACGGGAUUAGAUACCCCGGUAGUCCUAGCCGUAAACGAUGGGCACUAAGUAGAG